CCGCCGCCGCCCCCCGCCAAGCACCCGGACCCAGCCUAGGAGCUGCGCCUCGCUGCCCGUGACGGAAACUCAAGAAUGUGGAUCAGUGACAACCCUGAGUCACAUGCUGACGAUGGAGGAGGACAGAACAUAGGUCGCCGUGACGCUGCAGAGCUAUGGAAGCCUUGGCCUGCUGCAUUGGCUGAGCACAUCAGUAAUAAACCCGAGUCCAAUAAUGCAUCGGGGACACGAUUGGGAAAGAAAUCAAAGCCUUUCCCCUUGGUGACAUUUAACCCAGAGUGAGCCCAGACUCGAAUUCUCUGCUCGGUUCUUCCUGUGUGUCCCGUGUCCUCUGUCUGUCCUGAGUGCUGUCCAGCGUCUGCUCCUGUGUAUUCCUAAUAAAGUGUUCUGCUCUUGCUUUCAUUGGCCAGCACAGAAAGCAUCAAAUGGGAAAGGAAUGGAGGGUACUUCAUAGAAGUCUUUUAAGAGUUUUACAAGAAUGAAGUCACCGACCCAGAUAGCAAAUGCUGCCAAGCACAUCCUCGUGCUGCCUCAGCGUUUACAGUGGAUAUUUGUUUCAUAAAGUUGCCUUUUGCCUA